rnacentral:rRNA from 1 species
AGUGAACGCUGGCGGUAGGCCUAACACAUGCAAGUCAAACGGCAGCACAGGAGAGCUUGCUCUCUGGGUGGCGAGUGGCGGACGGGUGAGGAAUACAUCGGAAUCUACCUUUUCGUGGGGGAUAACGUAGGGAAACUUACGCUAAUACCGCAUACGACCUACGGGUGAAAGUGGGGGACCGCAAGGCCUCACGCGAUUAG